GUGCCAGCCGCCGCGGUAAGACGAAGGUGGCAAGCGUUGUUCGGAAUCACUGGGCUUAAAGGGCGCGUAGGCGGCCCGUCAAGCGUCUUGUGAAAUCCCCCGGCUCAACCGAGGAAUUGCAAGGCGAACUGGCGGGCUUGAGGCAGGUAGGGGCGAGUGGAACUCUUGGUGGAGCGGUGGAAUGCGUAGAUAUCAAGAGGAACGCCGGUGGUGAAGACGACUCGCUGGGCCUGUCCUGACGCUGAGGCGCGAAAGCCAGGGGAGCAAACGGGAUUAGAUACCCCGGUAGUCCUGGCCCUAAACGAUGUCCACUAGGUCGGAGGCCUUCUGACAGGGUUCCGGCCGAAACAAAAGCGAUAAGUGGACCGCCUGGGGAGUACGGUCGCAAGGCUAAAACUUAAAUGAAUUGACGGGG
rnacentral:rRNA from 1 species